AGAGCUACGGUGCGACAACACACACACACACUCCCACUCGACUGGACGCUCAAGCUCGGACAGCAACCUCACACACACACUGUACACACAGAUCUCUCAGAGGACAGACGUGGCUGUAUUGGACCUACUGCAACAGCGGUUGCGGGAGUAGAGAGAGAACACUUCUUACGGCUCACUCUCAACAGCGAUUGACCUCUUACGGCACACCUUUGAACAAGACUGGUCACUGGACAGUGGUCAGCUUGACGCUGCUGGACUACCGCUGAACCUCAGUUGAAGAAAUUCACGGACACACACACCUCUGGACCUAAACCCAGUAGCUGUGCAGAACCAACACACACUCGCUGGUCCACCAUAGGAUGAAACCGCAGCGGCUUCUUCUCCACGCGCCCCUCCUGCCCACCAUCUCUGAGUGUCUGGAGGACGUGUCCACCCCCUGCCCCCCCCCAUCCCUGGACGACUACGCUGCGUCCAUCAGAGCCCUGGCCCGGCCCACCUCUGCCCUACCUGGACCAAUCAGGUCGCCCCGCGGCCAGAGGCCACACCCCCACGCCAGGUGUCGAGUAGUGCGGCCACGCCAUGCUCCUGUUGCCGCCAGCAACAACAACAACAACAACAGCAGCAGCAGAGACCCGCUGGACUGGUCGUUCACACACACACCAGCGAACACACACAGGGCAGUGCAAACACACACACGCACACUCACACACCGGCACUCGCAAACAGAUGUACGGCCUCGGACUCAGGCACAGCGUACAGGUCACACAGACAAUUUCAUGCCAACACUCUGGAUGCUUUAACACACACACACACACACACACACACACACACACACAAUGGACUUUCUUUCUGCACUAUUUAUUGUGGAGUGGGAUCCUUUGUUGUUGAAUGUUUAUAAUAAAAUGAGUUGCCAUUG